UGGCUCAGGACGAACGCUGGCGGCGUGCUUAACACAUGCAAGUCGAACGAUGAACCGGUUUCGGCCGGGGAUUAGUGGCGAACGGGUGAGUAACACGUGGGCAAUCUGCCCUGCACUCUGGGACAAGCCCUGGAAACGGGGUCUAAUACCGGAUACGACGCGUUCCCGCAUGGGAUACGUGUGGAAAGCUCCGGCGGUGCAGGAUGAGCCCGCGGCCUAUCAGCUUGUUGGUGGGGUGAUGGCCUACCAAGGCGACGACGGGUAGCCGGCCUGAGAGGGCGACCGGCCACACUGGGACUGAGACACGGCCCAGACUCCUACGGGAGGCAGCAGUGGGGAAUAUUGCACAAUGGGCGCAAGCCUGAUGCAGCGACGCCGCGUGAGGGAUGACGGCCUUCGGGUUGUAAACCUCUUUCAGCAGGGAAGAAGCGUGAGUGACGGUACCCUGCAG
rnacentral:rRNA from 1 species